CGCCGAUAUAUUUUUUUACCUAUAUUGAGGGUGCAUAUAUAUUCUCGGGAUCAUUUUUUUCUUUAAUAAUUUUUCACGAACGACAGAAUGUUGAACUUGGUGUAUUUGAGUGAAAUUUUGCAUACAGUUUGCAAGGUUUGUCCGACCAUGGAAGUAUAUAAUACUUCCACUUCCAUGGUCCGACUAACUACGCACACACAACCCACACGUUUACAUCAUACAUGUACAAAGCAUGCUAUAUUAAGAUUGUGUAUUGUAUCAGGAUGUUGAUUUUCUUUUUAAUUUCCACAAAUAACAGAAUGUUUAACCUUUCUUGACUGCUGCACCAAAUGUGUUUUUCAGACACAACAAUUCAAAUUGCACUGUAUCGUCCUGUAAAUGCAUGAAAUAGUUGCCACCGGACGUUGAGCAACCAUCAAUCAAUCAAUUCAAAUUGUACCUCAAUAUCACUGUUUACCAAAUUACUUUAUUCUGUAACGUCACACGUUUUCUGUCAAAUUCUAAGCGUAUCGGUCAACUUUGAAGCAAUGUAUAUAAAACACAAGGAUGAUGACAUAUGUGUUUCUAUAUAUAUAUAAAAAAAAAUAAAAGGAUGUGGUAUGAUUGCCAAUGAUACAACUCUCCACAAGAGACAAAAUGACACUGAAAUUUACAUAUAUAGGUCACUGUACUGCCUUCAACAAUGAGCAAAGUCAUACCGCAUAGUCAGCUAUAAAAGGCCCCGAAAUGACAUAUGUAAAACAAUUCAAACGAGAAAACCUAAUUUAUGUACAAAAUAAUGAACGAAAAACAAAUAUGUUACAUAGCAACAAACUAAAUUACAGACUACUUGACUCGGGACAGGAACAUACAGAAUGUGGUCAGGUUAAACUCGUUUAAAGGCGCCAACCCUCCUUUCCCCUAACCUGGGACAUAAACUGGACCCCUGUUGUGUUCCCUUAUCGUUACACUAACGGUGCGAAGCUUAAGAUGGAAUGACGGACCAGUUUAACUUGGGACAGUGGUGUAACAGUACAACAUGAGAAUAAACUGUAGAAAUCAGUUAAAAAAGGCUUAACUCAUCAGAUGGAUGCAAAUAGAAUACAUCUUACAAAAAGAGAGUGGACGUGGAAGGGUACUUAUACAUCCCAACAACCAAAAGACUUUAAGUACAGAGUACUCGCAGUUACUGACAGCUAGUUGAAAGCUAAUAACAACUAAUACAAAAAGCAUGCACCUUAGAGGCAUAAUCCGGGAUAUUAUGUUAGUUUUUAGUUUUCUCCGUAUAUAAGAACAAAGCCAUCUAUUGAAAAAUUAAAAAAAAAAAAGAAAAGUUAAAACAAAGCAUUUUCCCUGUGUAAAUUUGUCGUCAAAAUUGACGUUUUCUAAUCAAAUUUACGAAAAAACAAAAGUGGUGACCCCCAUUUUUUUUAUUACAUAUUCCGAUGUAACUCGAUUCAAAGUACAAGUGUGCCAAAAAAUUUUAGAAAUCGGGAGAUAUGCCAUUCGGUGUCGUGUUAUCUUGAAAUAUAAGUACACAGUUUUGGAUUAUGAAGAAAAAUUGCCCACUUAGAGGGGAACACGAAACUGCAUUGAAAAUGAAAAAAAAUCUGGAGCAAAAUUAAACAUGUAUACAAAUCUAGGUUAGAAAAAGACACUACUUUUAAAAAAGAAAAUAAAAAAAAUUAACAUUAAGAGAUACAAUCAUAAUAAUUUAGUGAAAUAAAAAAAGACGUAGAUAACUAGAAUGGUAUCUUCUAUAUAUGAGGGUGUGGAUGGAGUUUACAGAAUAGAGAAUAAUGUGGCUAAAAAAAUAAAGAAUAGAAAAGAAAAGGAUAGGCCAAAAAUUUAAGAAUAGAGAAUAGUGGGCUUCUACAAUAUAAAAAAUAGAGAAUAAUGGGCAAAAUUUAUAUAGAAUAGAGAAAAAAUGGCGUAAAUAAUAUUAAGAAUUGAAGAACACCCACCUCCCUCCUUUUCCAGACCCUCUUUUAUCCUAUGACUGUUAAAAGAAAGAAGCGCCGUAAUUCAUAGGAACA
rnacentral:lncRNA from 1 species